rnacentral:rRNA from 1 species
UACGUAGGUGGCAAGCGUUAUCCGGAUUUAUUGGAUGUAAAGGGCGUGUAGGCGGGAAUGCAAGUCAGAUGUGAAAACUCAGGGCUCAACCCUGAGCCUGCAUUUGAAACUGUAUUUCUUGAGUGCUGGAGAGGCAAUCGGAAUUCCGUGUGUAGCGGUGAAAUGCGUAGAUAUACGGAGGAACACCAGUGGCGAAGGCGGAUUGCUGGACAGUAACUGACGCUGAGGCGCGAAAGCGUGGGGAGCAAACAGG